rnacentral:rRNA from 1 species
UACGAAGGGGGCUAGCGUUGCUCGGAAUCACUGGGCGUAAAGGGUGCGUAGGCGGGUCUUUAAGUCAGGGGUGAAAUCCUGGAGCUCAACUCCAGAACUGCCUUUGAUACUGAAGAUCUUGAGUUCGGGAGAGGUGAGUGGAACUGCGAGUGUAGAGGUGAAAUUCGUAGAUAUUCGCAAGAACACCAGUGGCGAAGGCGGCUCACUGGCCCGGUACUGACGCUGAGGCACGAAAGCGUGGGGAGCAAACAGG